rnacentral:misc_RNA from 1 species
GUGAAUCAUCGAAUCUUUGAACGCACAUUGCGCUCGCCAGUAUUCUGGCGAGCAUGCCUGUUCGAGCGUCAUUUCAACCAUCAAGCUCUGCUUGCGUUGGGGAUCCGCGGCUGCCCGCGGUCCCUCAAAAACAGUGGCGGGCUCGCUAGUCACACCGAGCGUAGUAACUCUACAUCGUUCUGGUCGUGCGGCGGGUUCUUGCCGUAAAACCCCCCAAUUUCUAAGGUUGACCUCGGAUCAGGUAGGAAUACCCGCUGAACUUAAGCAUAUCAAUAAGCGGAGGA